GGAGGAACCAUUUAUAAGUUCAUUAAUUAACUAUAAAUAUAUAUGAUCUUCAUAGAUUAUAUUUGUGUAGUUAUUGCAGUUGAAGUUUUACUGCUACUGGCUGAAGCAAGCAAGAUUAGCUUGAUAAAAAUUCGGGAAAGAAGGUUAACUGAUCAAGAAUUAUCUAGCAAUUAAAGAGAUCUUUGGCUUCCUGUGUAGAGAGGGGAGACUGUAAUUGUGAUCGUCUAUGAGAAUAAAUUUCAAAUAUGUAAAUAAAACUGCUGCAAAACAUUUUAUCAUUUUCUUUCGUUUGACCAGAACAUUUUUUCGAGUUCAAAGAACUUUUCGCGUUUAUAUAUAUAUAAGGUUAAACAGUGGCAGAAGUAAGGAGGAUAAUUUUUUAUACCAAUUUUCUCACACGUAAAUUCGAAUUUUACGGAAAUACGAGGUAAAUUCCGAAUAGAAAAUAGUUACGAUAUUUAUCGAUGCUUGGUGCUUGCCUGCAGAACGAGAAAAUAACGAUAAUGAAGGUCUGAAAAUAGUCCAUAGUUUUGACCGGUUGAAUGCAAAUUUCAAGAUUGGUUGCUUGCAGUGAUACUAGUUUUGAUCUGUAAUUGCUUUCUUAUGGUUAUUUUUGAUUUAACCUCUGAAGAAUAUUCGUUUGUUUGCACCCUUCGCAUAUCUCAUUCAGCGGCAUUUUCCUUAACACCCUUGAACUUCAGACGUUUAUCAGUAAUAACGAUAAAUCUUAAACCAAAGUGCAGCAACCGCUACGUAAUUAUUGAUUCACGGAUAUUGCAAAAUUGCUUAUUCUUUCAAAUAAAUAUUCAUCGCGCAUCACGUUUGGAUGACUAACUCUCUUAUUAUGUUGUUUAUCGCGCAAUUUUGGACGUAUAUAAUGAGAUUACCUUUAUUGGCUUAUCAAAACUUUACUGUUUUCCGUGUGUUGCAAUAAUUAAACGUUUCCGACUUUAUAGAGAUACGCUCGAAAUA
rnacentral:lncRNA from 1 species